rnacentral:rRNA from 1 species
CCUACGGGAGGCAGCAGUCGAGAAUCAUUCACAAUGGGGGAAACCCUGAUGCUGCGACGCCGCGUGGGGGAAGGAAGGUCUUCGGAUUGUAAACCCCUGUCAUAUGGGAGCAAAUUAAAAAGAUAGUACCACAAGAGGAAGAGAAGGCUAACUCUGAGCCAGCAGCCGCGGUAAUACAGAGGUCUCAAGCGUUGUUAGGAAUCACUGGGCGUAAAGCGUGCGUAGGCUGUUGCGUAAGUCGUGUGUGAAAGGCGCGGGCUCAACCCGCAGAGGGCACAUGAUACUGCGAGACUAGAGUACAGGAGGGGGAACCGGAAUUCGCGGUGUAGCAGUGAAAUGCGUAGAUAUCAAGAGGAACACUCGUGGCGAAGGCGGGUUCCUGGACAUUAACUGACGCUGAGGCACGAAGGCCAGGGGAGCGAAAGGGAUUAGAUACCCUUGUAGUC